rnacentral:rRNA from 1 species
GCUUAACACAUGCAAGUCGAGGGGCACCAUCAUUUUUGCUUGCUUUGAUGGAUGGCGACCGGCGCGCGGGUGAGUAACACGUAUCCCACCUGCCGACCACGCUGGGAUACCCUUUCAAAAGAAAGAUUAAUACCGGAUGGCAUAGUCUUCCCGCAUGGGAUGACUAUUAAAGAAUUUCGGUUGCCGAUGGGGAUGCAUUCCCUUACGCCGGUGGCGGGGUAACGGCCCACCACACCAACGAUGGAUAAGGAUUCUGAGACGAACGUCCCCCACAUUGGAACUGAUACACGACUCCAAACUCCUACGGGAGGCAACAGUGAGGAAUAUUGGUCAAUGAACGACAGUCUGAACCAGCCAAGAUAGCGUGAAGGAUGACUGCCCUAUGGGUUGUAAACUUCUUUUAUACCGGAAUAAAGUGAGCCACGUGUGGCUUUUUGUAUGUACCGCAUGAAUAAAGAUCGGCUAACUCCGCGCCAGCAUCCGCGGUAAUACAGAGGAUCCCAGCGUUAUCCGGAUUUAUUGGAUUUAAAGGGAGCGUACAUGGAUGAUUAAGUCACCUGUGAAACUUUGCGGCUCAUCCUUAAAAUUGCAUUUGAUACUGGAUAUCUAGAGUGCAGUUGAUGCACGCGGAAUUCGUGAUGUACCGAUGAAAUGCUAAGAUAUCACGAAGAACUCCCAUUGCAAAGGCACGACUGCUAAGCUGCAACUGACAUUGAGGCUCGAAAGUGUGGGUAUCAAACAGGAGUAGAUACCGUGGUAGUUCACACGGUAAACGAUGAAUGCUCGGUUUUUGCGAUAUAUUGCAAGCGGCCAAGACGAAAGCGUUAAGUAUUUCACUUGGGGAGUACGCCGGUAACGGUGAAAGUCAAAGGAAUUGACGGGGGCCCGCACAAGCGGAGGAACAUGUGGUUUAAUUAGAUGAUACGCGAGGUACCUUCACCGGUCUUAAAUUGCAGAUGAAUUACGGUGAAAUCCGUAAGGCGCAAGGCAUCUGUGAAGGUGCUUCAUGGUUGUCGUCAGCUCGUGCCGUGAGGAGUUGGCUUAAGUACCAUAACGAGCGCAACCCUUGUUGUCAGUUUCUAACAGGUUCUGCUGAGGGCUCUGACAAGACAGCCAUCGUAAGAUGUGAGGAAGGUGGGGAUGACGUCAAAUCAGCACGGUCCCUUACGUCCGGGGCUACACACGUGUUACAAUGGGGGGUACAGAGGGCCGGUGCCACGCGAGUGGAUGCCAAUCCCCAAACCCUCUCUCAGUUCGGACUGGAGUCUGCAACCCGAAUCCAGGAAGCUGGAUUCGCUAGUAAUCGAGCAUCAGCCACGGCGCGGUGAAUACGUUCCCGGGCCUUGUACACCCCGCCCGUCAAGCCAUGGGAGCCGGGGGUCCCUGAAGUGCGUACCCGCGAGGAGCGCCCUAGGGUAAAACUGGUGACUGGGGCUA